CAGAGGUCCCAAGCGUUGUUCGGAUUUACUGGGCGUAAAGGGUGCGUAGGUGGCUGGGAAAGUCUGAUGUGAAAUCUCCGGGCUUAACUCGGAAAUGGCAUUGGAAACUAUCCGGCUCGAGGGUCGGAGGGGAGACUGGAAUUCUCGGUGUAGCAGUGAAAUGCGUAGAUAUCGAGAGGAACACCAGUGGCGAAGGCGAGUCUCUGGACGAUACCUGACACUGAGGCACGAAAGCUAGGGGAGCAAACAGGAUUAGAUACCCUGGUAGUCCUAGCUGUAAACGGUGCACAUUUGCUGUAAGAGGAAUCGACCCCUUUUGUGGCGAAGCUAACGCGUUAAAUGUGCCGCCUGGGGAGUACGGUCGCAAGAUUA
rnacentral:rRNA from 1 species